UGGACAGAUUAUUGUAUUCGAAUGUAUUCACGACGUGAAACAGGGGAUUACACUGUUUUUAAACGGAAAGUGAAUCAAUUAACAUAAUAGACUCCU
rfam:Nicotiana attenuata strain TT chromosome 1, whole genome shotgun sequence.